UCCCAGUAGCCAGGCCGGGAACCGGGAGGGCAAACCGAGCUGCCGCAGUGCCGAGCUGGGAGAUUUGCAGUGCCUUGAACACACACACACAUACACGCCCCAGGCACAGCCAAACUUCAUACCAGAGCGCCGGAAUUUGGCAAGGGCUCCGCUCCGAGCAGAUGCCGAGGAUCCCGGCCCGUGCGGUUUGAGCUGCUCAGCUCCUGACCGAGAUUUUCAAAGCCGCCUGCGGCAGCGCAGGGGCAUCACGGCUCCGUGCCUGCCUGUCCCUCCCUCUUUCCCUGCCUCCCUCCUCGCCGGGGCGGGGGUGAAGCAGAAAUCCCGAGGAGCACUAACGAGGCGGCGUCUUUCAGGGGAACAUCCUGAAGUGCAACUUGGUAACCGCGGAGCGGUAAAAAUACGUAUUAUACAUGGUAGAUAAACAUACAUAUAUAUGAUUUUAAUUACA